AGUUCAAUUUUAAAGUGAAAACUCAGUCAAAUUAUCUAAUGACUUUCAGUUAUCCACUUCACGUGAAGUUCGACUGCACCUGAGUUUUCACC